rnacentral:rRNA from 1 species
CGCUGACGAGUGGCGGACGGGUGAGUAAUGUCUGGGAAACUGCCUGAUGGAGGGGGAUAACUACUGGAAACGGUAGCUAAUACCGCAUAAUGUCGCAAGACCAAAGAGGGGGACCUUCGGGCCUCUUGCCAUCGGAUGUGCCCAGAUGGGAUUAGCUUGUUGGUGGGGUAACGGCUCACCAAGGCGACGAUCCCUAGCUGGUCUGAGAGGAUGACCAGCCACACUGGAACUGAGACACGGUCCAGACUCCUACGGGAGGCAGCAGUGGGGA